rnacentral:rRNA from 1 species
CCCCUAGAUGUUCUGGGCUGCACGCGCGCUACACUGAUGCGUUCAACGAGUUUAUGACCUUGCCCGAUAGGGUUGGGUAAUCUUUUUAAAUCGCAUCGUGAUGGGGAUAGAUUAUUGCAAUUAUUAAUCUUCAACGAGGAAUUCCUAGUAAGCGCGAGUCAUCAGCUCGUGCUGAUUACGUCCCUGCCCUUUGUACACACCGCCCGUCGCUCCUACCGAUUGAAUGGUCCGGUGAAGCGUUCGGACCGUGGCCUUUGGACGGUUCGCCGUCUGUUGGCUGCGGGAAGUUCGUUAAACCUUAUCAUUUAGAGGAAGGAGAAGUCGUAACA